UAAAGCGUGCGCAGGCGGUUUUGUAAGACUGUCGUGAAAUCCCCGGGCUCAACCUGGGAAUGGCGAUGGUGACUGCAAGGCUAGAGUUUGGCAGAGGGGGUAGAAUUCCACGUGUAGCAGUGAAAUGCGUAGAUAUGCGGAGGAACACCGAUGGCGAAGGCAAUCCCCUGGACCUGUACUGACGCUCAUGCACGAAAGCGUGGGGAGCAAACAGGAUUAGAUACCCGUGU
rnacentral:rRNA from 1 species